GAAAAGCGAAAGCUAAUUGCAUUUACUUAAAAUUAAAUUUUAAGAGAGUGUCCCUUUUUAUUUAUAAAAAAUUGGAUGGCUUUUAAGAGAGUGGUCCCUUUUUAUUUUAAAAAUUUGAAAACCUUUUAAAGAGGAAGGGUCCAUUUUUUAUGUAGUUACUACUUUAUAGUUUAAAAUUCUAGAUAGAAUUAUGAUGAUGACAUUAUCUAUCUAUUAGUCUUGACCAAAUUACGUGCCAGCAGUCGCGGUAAUACGUAAAAGACAAGUGUUAUUCAUCUUUAUUGGGUUUAAAGAGUACCAAGACGGUUAAUAAAGCCCAAAAUACAUGAACACAGGGGACACAUUAACUAGAGUUAUAUGAAAGGAAGCACUAAAGUACUGUUGAGUGUAGAGAUAAAAUUCUAUCAUACCAUAUAAAGGCACAGAUUUAUGCGAAGGCAUCUUCUUAUGUAAUAACUGACGUUGUAGGACGAAGGCUUUUUAAGUGAAGAGGAUUAGAGACCCUUGUAAUCUAAGCAGAAAAUGAUGAAUGUCAUAGGUUUAAUAUAUUAUUGGGUCUAUAAAUGAAAGUGUAAGCAUUCCACCUCAAGAGUAAUUUGGCAACAUUGGAACUGAAAUCAUUAGACCGUUUCUGAAACCAGUAGUGAAGUAUGUUGUUUAAUUAGAUGAUACACAAAAAACCUUACCACAAUUUGAAUAUAUAUCUUUAAAGAUAUUUACAAGCGUUGCACGGCUGUCUUCAGUUAAUGUCGUGAGAUUUUGGUUAGUUCCAUAAAAUUAACGUAAACCCUCGUUUUAUUUAGAAAUAAAAUUUAGAUCUGUUUC
rnacentral:rRNA from 1 species